UUAAAUGAUCAGGUUUAUGUUUUUUUUUUUUUUUUUAACCAUGAAGACUUUAAUAGAAAAAGAAGAAGUUUUGAGAUACCGUUGCUAGUCCUUGCAUGUGAGCAUAGUCUGGAUGUGGAGAGUGCAGAUAUACAAGACAUUUCAUAUUUGAAAGAAAGAAAAAGACCACAGCCUCAUACUCGUGCUACUCUCAGAACUGAAGAAGUAUGUUCGCACAGCUUGUCCCUCCAGAUGACAGCAGUGACAUGGACACGGAACUCCAAGGGCGAGGACAGCUCAUGAGAGAGGUGGCCACAAGUUUGACUGUAUUUGACUGAGCAACCUGGAUGGAGCUGACACAAGCGGCUGCAGCAAGGCGAAGCAUGGGCUCUCAGAGCGAGAACAAAGCCGAGAGACAAGGCCCUUGUUUUAGAGAGUCAUGAACCCCGUGUUAGGGAGGGAAGGCGCCUGCGCAGUGAGAGGACGUCAGACUCCACACUACUCUAUAUGAUGUAGGUGUCUUUUCCUUGAAGAUAGAAAUUCUAUAAGGUAUAGUAAAAAGGUACAAAGUCAGACUCCGUGGAAGGGAAUUUCUAAGGAAAGUCAAUUUUAUUAUUUUUGGGUACAAAUGAUUUUGGAAGUUAAACUAGGCUAUCAGAGUAUGGUCUGGCCAGGGCUCUGGGGGGACCCACUUUAAUGAAUUAGAUAAAGUUGAUUCAUAUCUCAUAUACUAAAUGAUUGUCAAUUGCUGCUUCUAAGGUAAUUGAGAAUGCUUGAGAGUAAUUUAAGUGACACUUUACACUAUUAAUUAGCUCUACCUAACUUUUUUAUUUCAUUGACAGAGCAGAGGCCUGGCUUGAAUUACUUCAGCAAUCCAAGCUAAUGAGGUUUUCUGGGUAGGGAAAUGUUUCUGGAUCUAGUAGAGCCUGACAAGAAUCUGAUUUGGGUUUAGGAAGCUCUUGACCUUGGAUGGAACCAGUUUUGUGUUUCUUUAUGGCAGCCCAGCCCUACACGUACCUUGUUUAACACGCACUAAAUGCUUCCAUCAGAAACCUCCUUCUUAUGAAGCACAACACACAUCCUUGCAACAAACAUGUUUUAGGGCUGAUUAGAUUAAUUAAUGUGAAAACCAGAGCUCUGGGUAGUUAGUGGCUUCUAGAAACAUUUGCUUUUGAUUCAACAUCUUUGUCAAAACAGAGAGGGACAAGGUGGCCUCAUUUGCUCUCUAAGGAAGCUUGCUGUAACUUCUCUCCUGUCAGAAACCUAUGGAGUGCCUUUUUAUAAAGACAUACUGUAUCUUCUUCCAGAAUGGCUCUUGUCUUCACGGGGCAGAUCAUCUAAGCAGGACAUCCCAUAUAACGCAGGCUGGGGUUGGAGU